GUUUGCAGCAAAUUGCUACACGUACGUUAAAAUUGGAAAGACACAGAGAUUAUUAGCAUAGCCCCUGGCUCAAGGAUGACACUGCAAU
rnacentral:snRNA from 1 species